GACGAACGCUGGCGGCGUGCCUAAUACAUGCAAGUUGAGCGCUGAAGGUUGGUACUUGUACCAACUGGAUGAGCAGCGAACGGGUGAGUAACGCGUGGGGAAUCUGCCUUUGAGCGGGGGACAACAUUUGGAAACGAAUGCUAAUACCGCAUAAAAACUUUAAACACAAGUUUUAAGUUUGAAAGAUGCAAUUGCAUCACUCAAAGAUGAUCCCGCGUUGUAUUAGCUAGUUGGUGAGGUAAAGGCUCACCAAGGCGAUGAUACAUAGCCGACCUGAGAGGGUGAUCGGCCACAUUGGGACUGAAACACGGCCCAAACUCCUACGGGAGGCAGCAGUAGGGAAUCUUCGGCAAUGGACGAAAGUUUGACCGAGCAACGCCGCGUGAGUGAAGAAGGUUUUCGGAUCGUAAAACUCUGUUGGUAGAGAAGAACGUUGGUGAGAGUGGAAAGCUCAUCAAGUGACGGUAACUACCCAGAAAGGGACGGCUAACUACGUG
rnacentral:rRNA from 1 species